GUGGGUAUAGCUCAGUGGUAGAGUGCGUGCUUAGCAUGCAUGAGGUCCUGGAUUCAAUCCCCAGUACCUGUA
rnacentral:tRNA from 1 species